rnacentral:rRNA from 2 species
UACGAAGGUCCCAAGCGUUGUUCGGAAUCACUGGGCGUAAAGGGAGCGUAGGCGGCGUGGUAAGUCAGAUGUGAAAUCCCGGGGCUCAACCCCGGAACUGCAUCCGAUACUGCCAUGCUAGAGGAUUGGAGAGGUAGCUGGAAUUCUUGGUGUAGCAGUGAAAUGCGUGGAUAUCAAGAGGAACACUCGUGGCGAAAGCGAGCUACUGGACAAUUCCUGACGCUGAGGCUCGAAGGCUAGGGUAGCGAAAGGG